CUCGCUGUAGCUCAGUGGUAGAGCAUCCGGCUCUGCUAACCGGAUGGACGCUGGUUCGAGCCCAGUCAGCGAGG
rnacentral:tRNA from 1 species